UCAUUCAUUCAUUCACUCGUACAGCAAGUGUUUCUCCAACACGUCGGGAUGUGGAUGUGCCCUCCAUGCUGAGCCUCGGGGAUCCAGCGGUCAGCUGAUCACUUUUUCAAUCUGUCUCCCUCUACUAGACUCGCUUUACCCACACUCCCUCUCCGGGGAGGACGUCUCCCUAGAACCACAUCAGGAGUGCGCACCUUCUCUUCUCUUUGGGAAGUCACUGCUGCAGCUGUUGCACACCGCCCUGCCCCUGGUUACUGCAGAGAGGAGUUCCCCCUCUCAUUCACCUUCGUUCUUCUCUCUUUUAUGCGCACACGUCCAUAUGUGCACAGCUCGUUUCCCUUCAAAGCUGCCUUUGAGAUGGCAGUUUGGCUCAAUGCAGAAUGUCCUUUACAGUCUUGAUGCAUUACGACUGUCCAUUAAGAUCCCAGAACGUGAGAUUUUUAUGACCAGUUUUCCAAUAACGAACAUACAUAUAACCUCACCGUAAUGAAAUUCUGCAGUCCUUCUCUUUGGGGAGUGAUUGCUGAAAAGUCUUCCUAUCCACUGUAAGCCAGUAAAAAUGGAACAACUAUGAACCUCAUUUUGCCUCACCCUGUAUUGAUAAUAUACAAGUUAUAAGUCAGAUAUAACUUCAGCAGGGUUGGGGUUAUUGUUUCCAGACAGCACACUUGUAAGGAACAUGACAAAUGUUUAAAGAAUUUGGUCAUUAAAAUAUUUUACUCUUG